rnacentral:rRNA from 1 species
UACGAAGGGGGCUAGCGUUGCUCGGAAUCACUGGGCGUAAAGCGCACGUAGGCGGCUUUCUAAGUCAGGGGUGAAAUCCUGGAGCUCAACUCCAGAACUGCCUUUGAUACUGGGAAGCUCGAGUCCGGAAGAGGUGAGUGGAACUCCGAGUGUAGAGGUGAAAUUCGUAGAUAUUCGGAAGAACACCAGUGGCGAAGGCGGCUCACUGGUCCGGUACUGACGCUGAGGUGCGAAAGCGUGGGGAGCAGACAGG